GACAGAGGUGCCGAGCGUUAGGCGGAAUCACUGGGCUUAAAGCGUGUGUAGGCGGAUUCCUAAGUACCUUGUGAAAUCCCACGGCUUAACCGUGGAACUGCUUGGUAUACUGGGUGUCUUGAGCCAACUAGAGGCAGUCGGAACAAACGGUGGAGCGGUGAAAUGCGUAGAUAUCGUUUGGAACGCCAAUGGUGAAAACAGACUGCUGGGGUUGUGCUGACGCUGAGACACGAAAGCUAGGGGAGCAAACGGG
rnacentral:rRNA from 1 species